rnacentral:rRNA from 1 species
UACGUAGGGUGCGAGCGUUGUCCGGAAUUAUUGGGCGUAAAGAGCUCGUAGGCGGUUCGUUGCGUCUGCCGUGAAAACCCGGGGCUUAACUCCGGGCCUGCGGUGGAUACGGGCGGACUGGAGUACUGCAGGGGAGACUGGAAUUCCUGGUGUAGCGGUGGAAUGCGCAGAUAUCAGGAGGAACACCGGUGGCGAAGGCGGGUCUCUGGGCAGGUACUGACGCUGAGGAGCGAAAGCGUGGGGAGCGAACAGG